rnacentral:rRNA from 1 species
GAUGAACGCUGGCGGCGUGCCUAAUACAUGCAAGUCGAGCGAACGGACGAGGAGCUUGCUUUUCGGAUGUGAGCGGCGGACGGGUGAGUAACACGUGUAUAACCUACCUAUAAUACUGGUAUAACUUCGGGAAACCGGAUCUUAUACGGGAUGAGAUUUUGAAGCGCAGUGUGCAAAAGUGAAAUACGGUCUUGGUGUCACUUAUAGAUGGAUCCGCGCUGCAUGAGCUGGUUGUGAAGGUAACGGGUUAUCAAGGCAACGAUGCAUAGCCGACGUGAGAGGCUGAUAGCCCACACUGGAACUGGGCCGCGGACCAGACUCCUACGAGAGGGAGCAGUAGGGAAUCUUCCGCAAUGGGCGAAAGCCUGACGGAGCAACGCCGCGUGAGUGAUGAAGGUCUUCGGAUCGUAAAACUCUGUUAUUAGGGAAGAACCGAUGUGUAAGUAACUGUGCACAUCUUGACGGUACCUAAUCAGAAAGCCACGGCUAACUACGUG